UGGGGAAUUUUGGACAAUGGGCGCAAGCCUGAUCCAGCCAUGCCGCGUGCGGGAAGAAGGCCUUCGGGUUGUAAACCGCUUUUGUCAGGGAAGAAAUCUUCUGAGUUAAUACCUCGGGAGGAUGACGGUACCUGAAGAAUAAGCACCGGCUAACUACGUGCCAGCAGCCGCGGUAAUACGUAGGGUGCAAGCGUUAAUCGGAAUUACUGGGCGUAAAGCGUGCGCAGGCGGUUUUGUAAGACAGAGGUGAAAUCCCCGGGCUCAACCUGGGAACUGCCUUUGUGACUGCAAGGCUUGAGUGCGGCAGAGGGGGGAUGGAAUUCCGCGUGUAGCAGUGAAAUGCGUAGAUAUGCGGAGGAACACCGAUGGCGAAGGCAAUCCCCUGGGCCUGCACUGACGCUCAUGCACGAAAGCGUGGGGAGCAAACAGGAUUAGAUAGCCCUGGUAGUCCACGCCCUAAAACGAUGUCAACUGGUUGUUGGGAAGGUUCCUUCUCAGUAACGUAGCUAACGCGUGAAGUUGACCGCCUGGGGAGUACGGCCGCAAGGUUGAAACUUAAAUGAAUUGAC
rnacentral:rRNA from 1 species